GCCGGGGUGUCGGAAUGGCAGACGAACCGGUCUCAAAAACCGGCGUCCGUAAGGACAUGAGGGUUCAACUCCCUCCCCCGGCACCA
rnacentral:tRNA from 1 species